UCUAUUGUAGGUUAAGUAAACUGUUAGCUUGUGGUGCUAAAGAUCUAUUAAUUUGAGCAGUGGAA
rnacentral:tRNA from 1 species